UACGUAGGGUGCGAGCGUUGUCCGGAAUUAUUGGGCGUAAAGGGCUCGUAGGCGGUUUGUCGCGUCGGGAGUGAAAUCAUCUGGCUUAACUGGGUGCUUGCUUUCGAUACGGGGCAGACUAGAGGUAUGCAGGGGAGAACGGAAUUCCUGGUGUAGCGGUGAAAUGCGCAGAUAUCAGGAGGAACACCGGUGGCGAAGGCGGUUCUCUGGGCAUGAUCUGACGCUGAGGAGCGAAAGUGUGGGGAGCGAACAGG
rnacentral:rRNA from 1 species